rnacentral:rRNA from 1 species
ACACGAGCGGCGAACGGGUGAGUAACGCGUGAGUAACCUGCCCCCCUCUCUGGGAUAACAGUUGGAAACGGCUGCUAAUACCGGAUAUUCAGACCUUUAGGCAUCUUUUGGUUUGGAAAGUUCUGGCGGUGGGGGAUGGACUCGCGUCCUAUCAGCUUGUUGGUGGGGUAGUGGCCUACCAAGGCGACGACGGGUAGCCGGCCUGAGAGGGCGACCGGCCACAUUGGGACUGAGAUACGGCCCAAACUCC